AGAGUUUGAUCCUGGCUCAGAUUGAACGCUGGCGGCAUGCUUUACACAUGCAAGUCGAACGGCAGCACGGGGGCAACCCUGGUGGCGAGUGGCGAACGGGUGAGUAAUGCAUCGGAACGUGUCCUGUAAUGGGGGAUAACCUAUCGAAAGGUAGGCUAAUACCGCAUACGUCCUGAGGGAGAAAGCGGGGGCUCGCAAGACCUCGUGUUAUAGGAGCGGCCGAUGUCGGAUUAGCUAGUUGGUGGGGUAAAGGCCUACCAAGGCGACGAUCCGUAGCGGGUCUGAGAGGACGGCCCGCCACACUGGGACUGAGACACGGCCCAGACUCCUACGGGAGGCAGCAGUGGGGAAUUUUGGACAAUGGGGGCAACCCUGAUCCAGCCAUGCCGCGUGAGUGAAGAAGGCCUUCGGGUUGUAAAGCUCUUUCGGCCGGGAAGAAAUCGCGCCAGCUAAUACCUGGUGUGGAUGACGGUACCGGAAGAAGAAGCACCGGCUAACUACGUGCCAGCAGCCGCGGUAAUAU
rnacentral:rRNA from 1 species